CGCCCUCAGGCCUUCCGCUUCUGUCCGCCGGGGACCCGGGAAUCGGCAUUUUAAGGGUUCCCCGGCGGCGACCCUCUAAAGCUUCCAUCCCUACCCGCGGGCCGGCCGUGUAACUCGCUCGGCCCUCGCCGCCCGGAGAGGUACGUGGGAGCCGGCUGGGCCCGGGUCCAGAAAAUGGCCGCGAGGACACAGGACGAGCCCGAAGGCCCGCAGCGGCGCGCGGCCCGCCCCCCCGCACGGCGGCCCGUCUCACCGGAGCGGCUUCUUGGAGAGCGGGCACACCAGGAACUCCAGCAGCGCCGGGUCGAAGGCGCGGGCCGGCCCCUCCGGGUCCUCGCUUUUGUCUGCCAACGGCCGCGCCCCGGACGCGUGCAGCCGCCUCUGGGCGGUUGCGGCCGGCGGCGCGCGCGUCCCCCGCAGCGACGAGGCAAGCCGGCCGCACGCUCCCCUCAGCAUGGUCCGCGCCCGCGCCCGCCGCCCCGCUUCGCCCGCAGCCGCCCCACCGCUCCCCGCGGCCCGCCCCGCCGGCCAGGCCGCGCCCCCGGUGCUCGGGAAACGCAGUCCCGCGGGGCGGGCUCUAGCGCUUUGGUUCCGAGGGCCCUCCCGCCCGGAGUGGUUUUCCCGCCGCCCGGAGUGGUUUUCCCGCCGCCCGGCUCUCUAGUUCCGAGGCUUCCGGGGGCUGUUUACCGGCUUUACAAAUUAGAAACAAAACCGAUGCCUAAAUCGGGGCGUCCUCAGUUUUCUCCAGGACCUGUCGCAGGGCUGCGGGGAAGCCAGUGGGCGGUCCUCACAGUCACCCGGUGUGAGACUUGGACCUACGUGUUAUCUCCAAAAUGAGGUUUCAAACGCAGCCGGAGCGGGUGUGCAGAAGCAGUGAUUUGCCUUUGUAAAUCUUUACUGUACCACAGGUCGUGUAACCUUGUUUGGCGCUUUUUUUCCUUUAUUUAAAAACUUGUAAGAACAAGGGGCCCGCCGAGUGGUUAAGUUCCCGCGCUCGCUUCCGCGGCCCAGGGUUGCGCCGGUUGAGAUCCUGGGCGCGGACGUGGCGCCGCUCCUCAGGCCACGCUGAGGCGGGGUCCCACAUGCCACAACUAGAAGGACCCACAACUAAAUAUACAACUGGACUGGGGGGCUUUGGGGAGAGAAGAAGGGAGAAAAAGAUUGGCAGCAGAUGUUAGUUCAGGUGCCAAUACUAAAAAAAAAAAAAAAAAAAAGAUGUAAGAACCUGAAGAGAAUGGCUUAGGCCCCUUAAACACCAAGACGUCCAGAUUCUUGCCCUGCGGGACUCAUUGUCAGUUCAGUUGCAUGAAAAAGCACAACUAAUGCAGUUCUAUUAAUGAGCUUGGAGACUAAUGGGGCAGGUGUCCAUUAGUGAAGUAGGCUAGCCGGUCAUUGGGUUUCCGCCCCUUGUUUGCCUCUGACUCUCCGAGGAAGGGAUGCGGGUUUGGUCCCUUUCUUACCUUGUAGUGGACAAGGGCCUGGGCGCUCGGCGCUGACCGCCUGGUUCCCGGUGCAUAGUUUACCAGCUGUAGGACGCCUGCAAAUGACUUAACUACCCCCUUUCCUGAUCUGUAUGAUAAGAUCAUAAUUGUACCUCCCUCGUGAAAUCCCCUCGUGGGGAUCAAAACGUGAUAGUGCAUGUGCAAAGAGCUUUUAGAAAAGUGCCUGGGACAAAUUAAUGCUCAAUGCAUGUUAUUGUCAUUUUUAUUUCCUCUGUUCUUCCCAGUUCAAUAUACUAGAAGAUUCUUUGUUAGUCGUCAAGUUUUUCCCUUUGUUUUGCUGAAUUUUGCCUUGAACCUUUUUUGCACCAUUGGGUUUUAUCAUUUCACACUGAGCUCCUGGGAGGUAGGGAUGGGAGUGAGGGAUAUACAGAUAUAAAUACAGGAUUAUAUUUUCAAAUUUCUCUUCCACUCAGCAAUGUAAAAAUAGAGAAAUUUUUAUAGUGUUUCUUCACUCUUUAAAAAAAAAUACAUUAUAUUAUUUGAUGCUCUUUGUUCACUAAUGCUCGAAAGAUUUCAGCAGGGGGCUGUUGUCACGGGUGUAGCCUCAGGAGGGACUAGUGUUCAGGUCCCAAGUGAGCGUCACAGUAUUUCCUACUAGCGCAGUAGCAGGAAUUAAUUUUUCAGUUGUAGUUAGUUGAUACUUUGGGCCCUAGGGAGGGAGUGAACCACAGGAAAGAUACGUUUCAGCGAGGGGUGGGGAAGCAAGUGUGACUUCGGCCAGCCCUGAGUGGGCCCCCGCCAGGCUGGGCAGGCUAGGGCCUUGGCCCCCAUGGGAUAGGGGCAGGUACUGGUGCUUAAGACCAGCUUCAUUAGCCUCAGCUCGCCUCACCUGGCGGACAGAUCGCUAUCAACUGGGUUUUCUAACCAGCUAUAAAUAAAUUAGUUUCAGGUUGCCUCUACAUAGAAGGUUUGAAGCAGGUGAGUUUACUUUAAUUUAUAUUAGUAUUGGGGAAAAAUGGAGAGUAUUGAAAACAUCUUGAAAUUUAUAACACCACAAAUCAACAACCAAUAUUUAAGAAACAUCUGAGCGUGUGAUAUAGUGCAAACCAUGUAAAUGUUAAGUUGCAAAAUGUCCCUAAACAGCCCUCAGUAAUUAGGGAAUAUAACUUAUUUCCACAUGUAGUAUACUGAAUGUAGCCGAAUAUAGGUGAUAGUGUCGCACUGUAAAUCAUUAGUCCUUUUUCACUGUUGGCAUGACUGAUCUUUCCCAUCACAGAGCCCUGUGCACACAUGUAACGACAUGCGGGGCUCCGGACUCAGGUACCGUACUGGCUGUGUGACCUUGGGGAAGUUAGUUAAACUGUCUGCCUCAAUCUUCUCAUCUGUAAAACAGCAUAAUAAUGGUACCUACCUUAUUAGAGCUGUUGAGAGGAUUAAAUAAAAUAAUACAAGUAAAGCAGUUAACACAGGGGCUGACACAGACCACACAUUUAAAGAAUGUUAGCAGCAAAAUUACUUAUUGUGGUGAAAAGUCUGAUAAAAAAAGAAAGCAUAAUAUACAACUGGGCACUUUAAUUGUAACUGACCUGGAAUUUUUACAGUUUCCAGUGUAGAUAAUAUUGAAACAUAACUCUUGGCCUAUUGUAAACAUUGAAUUAGAAAUCUCCAGUCAGAGAAAGGCUAGAAUAUAUAUAUUUUAAUAAAGUCCCAUAAAUAUUAAAUUUGGGGGCAUUGAAAUUUGGGAAUCUCUGAUCCAGAGAGAGAAGUUAAAAUCAAUUUUCCACUAGAUGGCAUCAUCCAAUAUUUGAACUAACAUUUAUUCCUGCUUGUACUUUGCUUUCUGUGAUCACAAAGAUUUGCUUUUAUUUUGCCAGUUUGUUCCUUAAUUUGAUGACAUCUAUUUUAGGAACAAAACACAAAAAUUUUAUUAAUAAAUUGCAAUUGUAAUAAGUUCUUUAAAAUCAAGGGUCUGAUUGUAAAUAGACAAAAAGUAUAAAAAUAAGUAACAAAGAGAAAAUGCAGUGAUGAAUAAACAUUAAAAAAUUCAUCCUCAAUAGUAAAGUAAUGCAAGUUUCAAACAUCAGAGUUUCCAUUUCUCACCUACAAAAAUACUAAUUUUUUUAAAAAUGUAAUUCUUAAUAUUGCUCAUCAUUUAUUAAUUUAUUGAAUGUCCACUAUGUGGCAGGCACUGUCUGGAUUAGUCAGGGUUCUCCAGAGAAGCAGAAUUAAUCAGAUGUAUAUAUGGAAGGGAUUUAUUACAAGGAAUUCGCUCACAUGAUUAUGGAGGCUAAGAAGUUCCACAAUCUACCGUGUGCAAGCAGGAGACCCAGGAAAGCCGAGGGAAUAAAUCCAGUCUGAGUCCAAAGUCCUGAGGACCAGGGGAGCAGAUGAUGUAAAUCCCAGUCCAAGGGCAGGAGAAGACAGACAUCCCAGCUCAAGCCACAAGGCCUUGCUCAUCCCUUCUCCCGGUGCUGUGGAUUUGGCCCCGUGAAGGAUCUUGAAGCGUGCGGACCUGGCAGCGCUCCUCAGUAUCCCGGUUGCUUGCCUUUGGGGACUAGACAGCUCCUGCUCACGAAGGACUGCACCUGCGUCCAGGACUGGACGGGGAGGUCCUAGAAGGACAAACUUGGUGUGCAAAUUGGAGGGCUCAGAAGAGGAAAUUGGGACAGAGACACGUACAGAAAGAAGACGACAUGAAGAUGUAAGAAGAAGGCACCCAUCUAAAGCCAAGGAGAGAGGCCUCAGGAGAAACUAACCCUGCCAACACCUUGAUCUUGACUUCUAACCCCCAGAAUUGGAAGAAAAUACAUUUUUGUUGUUUAAGCCACUUGGUCUGUGGCGCUUUGUUGUGGCAGCCCUGGCACUUUAAUACAAUUGGGUUCCAAAUAUGUUCUUCCAAUUAGACACAUUCCAUUUAGAUAAUAUAGUACAGUGCCAAAGAAGAAAUCCUCCAAAAUAAUGGAAUUUGAUAAUGUAGUUUUCCUGAUAAUAUCAAUUAUACUCUACUAAGGAAAAAGCACUCAGAAAUUCAGGGCUGUGGUCCUUGUUCAGUUAGUGGCAAUUAAUGACAUAUAUGUGGCCUUAAGCCUUCUUCUAACUGAAAAUUGAUUUAUCAAUAUGCAAGACUGAUAUAAUUUCAGUUUUUUCUUUCAUAAAGCCUCCAAGUAAAGUUACAUAAAUGGGGAAAUUUUAAUCGUAAAUUCUACAUUCAAAAUAAAGUAGGUAAUUUGCUUCUGUUAUCUGAAAAAUUACAUUUUGGUGGUCCUUCUUCCUUGGAUAUCAGAUGCAGAAAGUGUGGGGCAAGACUAUAUAGGGAGAAAAAGAACAGGAAAAACAUCCACUGGAUUUUAAUUAAAACAUUAUUUGUUAAGUGAUGCACUUUACCAG
ensembl:lncRNA